rnacentral:tRNA from 1 species
ACUAAUUUAGCAAAACUAUAAUGUAUCAAUUUUAGAAUUUGAAGAUGGUAAUACCAAUUAGUA